rnacentral:tRNA from 1 species
AUCUAUAUAGUUUAAAAAAAACAUUAUAUUUUCAUUAUAAAAUUAAUCUAUAAAUUUUUAGAUA